CACGUAGGGGGCGAGCGUUGUCCGGAUUUAUUGGGCGUAAAGAGCUCGUAGGCGGCUCAGUAAGUCGGGUGUGAAAACUCCAGGCUCAACCUGGAGACGCCACCUGAUACUGCUGUGGCUAGAGUCCGGUAGGGGAGCAUGGAAUUCCUGAUGUAGCGGUGAAAUGCGCAGAUAUCAGGAGGAACACCAGUGGCGAAGGCGGUGCUCUGGGCCGGAACUGACGCUGAGGAGCGAAAGCGUGGGGAGCAAACAGG
rnacentral:rRNA from 1 species